rnacentral:rRNA from 1 species
AGUAACACGUAUGCAACCUGCCUGCCACAGCCGGAUAAUCGGGAGAAAUUCCGUCUAAUACGGCAUAAUGCAUCGACGGGACAUCCUGUUGGUGCCAAAGGUUGAUUCCGGUGGCGGAUGGGCAUGCGUCGCAUUAGUUAGUUGGCGGUGCAACGGACCACCAAGACGACGAUGCGUAGGGGUUCUGAGAGGAAGGUCCCCCACAUUGGAACUGAGACACGGUCCAAACUCCUACGGAAGGCAGCAG